CAUGAGAUACGGCUACCACAUCCAAGGAAGGCAGCAGGCGCGCAAAUUACCCAAUGCAGACACUGCGAGGUAGUGACGAAAAAUAACAAUGCGGGACUCUUUCGAGGCCUCGUAAUUGAAAUGAGUACACUCUAAAUCCUUGACACGAGGAUCCAUUGGAGGGCAAGUCUGGUGCCAGCAGCCGCGGUAAUUCCAGCUCCAAUAGCGUAUACACGGGUUGCUGCAGUUAAAAAGCUCGUAGUUGGAUCUCGGGCGCGGGCUCGCGGUGUGCUCGUCGAGGCGACCAUCGCUUGUCCAAGCCUCCCAGCCGGACAUUGAAAGUCCCUGGUGCUCUUCAUCGAGCGUCUUGGACGGCCGGCGUGUUUACUUUGAAGAAAUUAGAGUGCUCAAAGCAGGUCUAGCCAGCCUGAAUACUGUUGCAUGGAAUAAUGGAAUAGGACCUCGGUUCUAUUUUGUUGGUUUUGAGAGCACGAGGUAAUGAUUAAGGAAGCUGACGGGGGCUUACGUACUGCGGCGCGAGAGGUGAAAUUCUGUGACCGUCGCAAGACGAACGAGAGCGAAAGCAUUUGCCAAGCAUGUUUUCGUUAAUCAAGAACGAAAGUCAGAGGUUCGAAGACGAUCAGAUACCGUCGUAGUUCUGACUGUAAACUAUGCCAACUGUCGAUCCGCCGUGGUUACUUCAAUGACCCGGUGUGCAGCCUCCGGGAAACCAAAGUCUUUGGGUUCUGGGGGGGAGUAUGGUUGCAAAGCUGAAACUUAAAGGAAUUGACGGAAGGGCACCACCAGGAGUGGAGCCUGUGGCUUAAUUUGACUCAACACGGGGAAACUUACCCGGUCCG
rnacentral:rRNA from 1 species